UUUCGUUUUAAAAGUACAGGUAGAGAAGGUAAAACAUCAAUUACACGUGCUAAGCUGGAAUGGCGCGAAAUCAAUCACCUGGAAAAAGUACGACUGUUUAAAAUUACAGGUAAAACUAAGGAUUAUAUCAAUGAUGUUUAGUAAAAAAAAAUCCAGAAACAACAAAACUAAAUUUGAAAAAAAAGUGUUGCUAAACUUUUCUGGGUCAGUGUGGCGAAAGAAUAAACUAUUAGUUUCUGAUUAAUGUUCUAUUAAUAAUAUAGAUGUUACAACAAUACAGUCCACAUUGAGAGGUAUUUA
rnacentral:lncRNA from 1 species